rnacentral:ncRNA from 1 species
AACGGAGGAGCACGAAGGUUGGCUAAUCACGGUCGGACAUCGUGAGGUUAGUGCAAAGGCAUAAGCCAGCUUGACUGCGAGCGUGACGGCGCGAGCAGGUACGAAAGUAGGUCUUAGUGAUCCGGUGGUUCUGUAUGGAAGGGCCAUCGCUCAACGGAUAAAAGGUACUCCGGGGAUAACAGGCUGAUACCGCCCAAGAGUUCAUAUCGACGGCGGUGUUUGGCACCUCGAUGUCGGCUCAUCACAUCCUGGGGCUGAAGUAGGUCCCAAGGGUACGGCUGUUCGCCGUUUAAAGUGGUACGCGAGCUGGGUUUAGAACGUCGUGAGACAGUUCGGUCCCUAUCUGCCGUGGGCGCUGGAAGAUUGAAAGGGGCUGCUCCUAGUACGAGAGGACCGGAGUGGACGCACCACUGGUGUUCGGGUUGUCAUGCCAAUGGCAUUGCCCGGUAGCUACGUGCGGCAGAGAUAACCGCUGAAAGCAUCUAAGCGGGAAACUUGCCUUAAGAUGAGUCUUCCCUUGUCCCAGAGAGGACACAUAAGGAACGUUCGAGACGAGGACGUGGAUAGGCCGGGUGUGUAAGCGUAGCGAUACGUUGAGCUAACCGGUACUAAUGCUCCGAGAGGCUUAACCUG